GACGAACGCUGGCGGCGUGCUUAACACAUGCAAGUCGAACGGAAAGGCCCCUUUGGGGGUACUCGAGUGGCGAACGGGUGAGUAACACGUGAGUAACCUGCCCUUGACUUCGGGAUAACUUCAGGAAACUGGGGCUAAUACCGGAUAGGAAUCCUUGCUGCAUGGUGGGGGUUGGAAAGCUUCGGCGGUUUUGGAUGGACUCGCGGCUUAUCAGCUUGUUGGUGGGGUAGUGGCUUACCAAGGCUUUGACGGGUAGCCGGCCUGAGAGGGCGACCGGCCACAUUGGGACUGAGAUACGGCCCAGACUCCUACGGGAGGCAGAAGUGGGGAAUAUUGCACAAGGGGCGGAAGCCUGAUGCAGCAACGCCGCGUGCGGGAUGACGGCCUUCGGGUUGUAAACCGCUUUCAGCAGGGGCGAAGCUUGUGGUGACGGUACCUGCAGAAGAAGCACCGGCUAACUACGUG
rnacentral:rRNA from 1 species